GAUGAAGAACGUAGCGAAAUGCGAUACGUAAUGUGAAUUGCAGAAUUCAGUGAAUCAUCGAGUCUUUGAACGCACAUUGCGCCCUCUGGUAUUUCGGAGGGCAUGCCUGUCCGAGCGUCAUUGCUGCCCUCAAGCACGGCUUGUGUGUUGGGCCCCGCCCCCCGAUCCCGGGGGGCGGGCCCGAAAGGCAGCGGCGGCACCGCGUCCGGUCCUCGAGCGUAUGGGGCUUUGUCACCCGCUCUGUAGGCCCGGCCGGCGCCUGCCGAUCAACCAAACUUUUUUCCAGGUUGACCUCGGAUCAGGUAGGGAUACCCGCUGAACUUAAGCAUAUCAAUAAGCGGAGGA
rnacentral:misc_RNA from 1 species